rnacentral:rRNA from 1 species
UACGUAGGGUGCAAGCGUUGUCCGGAAUUAUUGGGCGUAAAGAGCUCGUAGGCGGUCUGUCGCGUCUGCUGUGAAAACUCAGGGCUUAACUCUGAGCUUGCAGUGGGUACGGGCAGACUAGGGUGCGGUAGGGGAGACUGGAAUUCCUGGUGUAGCGGUGAAAUGCGCAGAUAUCAGGAGGAACACCGGUGGCGAAGGCGGGUCUCUGGGCCGUAACUGACGCUGAGGAGCGAAAGCAUGGGGAGCGAACAGG